ensembl:lncRNA
AAUACUAAUCAACAUGAACCAAGAUUGCAUGGCAAAUAUUGCAGUAUUCACAACAUUGCAGUUUUAGAACUGCGGUAAAAGUUCAGCAGUUGCAACUAUGCAAUAGCCUACUCAUUGGGCCACAUUCAGUACAUGCCCCUUUGCUUUAUAGUGUUGAUUUCUCCCUACACGUGCGUCGCUCACGUCCGUAAGCAAGUGCGGGACUUAGCUUUGGUUAUAGAUGGGUGGGUGAGACAGCCUGGCAGAGAUUCCGGGGGUACGCGAUCACAAAUGUUUAGCUAUUUUUCUACUUUCAAAUGUAUUGUUCUUUUUAAAACCCAAACAAAACCCCUGCUGUACAGUGUUAUGUAGGCCUAUAUUGUUGCUUUAUUUUAUUAUUAUUUUCGUGCUCUGUACAAUGGGUUUUAUAUUCAGACAUUUCAUAGGAUGAGGAAUUAACUGCACACCUGUAAGUCCUGGGCAGAUGUUCUUGUGUGGUUGUUAAUAUGAUAUUGAGGUCAGCACUGGGAAUAAAGACCACCUUGCCGUCUAACUAGUACAGCAACAUAAGGAGAGCUGUCACUGUCUGCUUGUUUGCUCUGAGAAUAUGUAGUAACAUUGUAGUAGUAGCAUUGAAUAUGUAGUAGCAUUGCUUUUUCCUUUUAAAUCACAAGUUGCCAAGAAAGCAGAGGUCUUAUGUCUCCUCCAAAACAAGGGAAAUGAUUGUCCUGGCAGAUGACAAGCGUAACUCUGUUUAGUAUGAAAAUUCCUUUGGUUUAUUUUGGCCAGAUGUUUAACGGAGUUAAUCUCACAUUGCUUCUCUUGCUAGGCAUUUUUCCUGCCUUCACAGUGUAUGUUUCUGCACUGUCCUUAAGCACACUGGCUCCAGAUUUUGUUCCACUGUAAAAUUGCUGUGUGUGUGUGGGGGGGGGGGGGUCAUGAAAGAGGUGACUGGCGGGUAGAAGCCUUGAGUCUGAGAUAGACAUGCAGCUGAGGUUGAAAUGGUCUGAUGACUUUUUGCACAACAUAUUUGGAAGUCGCCUUCUGUCAGAACAAACCUCAAACAGACAGUACGGCAGUCUGGGAUCGAAAGCACAUUGUUCAUCCCCUCACAGAACUGAGACUAAACCAGGCCAUGGAAGGAAAAAUAAGAAUCUUGUUAUACUUGUCAGUUGUACUAAAUGGUUUAUGUUCUGAAGAGCCCUUGGGUCUAUCACUGAAUAGUGUAUCAGUGAAACUAGGGCAAGAUGCCAUUCUGGAGUGCCCUCUUUCAGCUGUCUCUAGGAAGGCCACUGUGAGCUGGUACAAGCAGAGUCCUGGAGAGAAGCCUGAGCUUGUACUGAGCUACCGGCUGACCAACACCUCCCAUGUGCUCUAUGGUCAGAGCUUCUGCCCCAGCAAGUUCACUAUCCAGACAAACGAUAGCCGGCCCCUUCGCCAGCAUCACUUACUCAUCCACGAGUCUGAGGGGAACGACGUGGCUGUUUAUUACUGCGGACUUACAGACAGACCUGAGAAAAAACACAGCUGAUUUGUUGAGAUGGAUGUGUAUGAUAUUCUAUGCAAAAGCAUUGUACUAAAGGCUGUGAAGUAACUAAAUAAACCCUCUGAAGCUGAUGUUGUGUUUUUGUAGUAAAUGUACACGUGCUCCGAAUUCUCCUGUACCCACCCCAACAUUUUAUAGUACGAUAAUUGUCUGUAAGAUGUGGGCAGAAGAGACGAAGAGAGAUGGUCACAGAAAUAUUGUGUUAAGCUGGAG